AACGAACGCUGGCGGCAUGCCUAACACAUGCAAGUCGAACGGACGGUAGCAAUACCGUUAGUGGCGGACGGGUGAGUAACGCGUGGGAACCUGCCUCGAAGUUCGGAAUAACCGCGGGAAACUGCGGCUAAUACCGGAUGUGGCCUGAGGGUCAAAGGCGCAAGUCGCUUCGAGAGGGGCCCGCGUCCGAUUAGCUAGUUGGUGGGGUAACGGCCUACCAAGGCGACGAUCGGUAGCUGGUCGAGAGGAUGAUCAGCCACACUGGGACUGAGACACGGCCCAGACUCCUACGGGAGGCAGCAGUGGGGAAUAUUGGACAAGUGGGGGAAACCCUGAUCCAGCAAUGCCGCGUGGGUGAUGAAGGCCUU
rnacentral:rRNA from 1 species